rnacentral:rRNA from 1 species
UACGUAGGGUGCAGGCGUUAAUCGGAAUUACUGGGCGUAAAGCGUGCGCAGGCGGUUUGCUAAGACAGGUGUGAAAUCCCCCGGGCUUAACCUGGGAACUGCGCUUGUAACUGGCAAGCUUGAGUGUGGCAGAGGGGGGGUGGAAUUCCACGUGUAGCAGUGAAAUGCGUAGAGAAUGUGGAGGAACACCGAUGGCGAAGGCAGCCCCCUGGGCUAACACUGACGCCUCAUGCACGAAAGCGUGGGGAGCAAACAGG